GGGGUGCGCUGGGAGCAGGGGGCCUGCAGAGACGGCUCCUCAGUGUACGACACACCCAACCAGAAUUCGGGGUCAUUGUGUCAAGAGGCAUGGAACUCAUGCCCUUCCUGUGAACAAACACCCUACAUGU